GGCCUGGCUGGGUGGUCUUGCCGCAAGGUAAGCACUGCUCUGGUCGGGUCUUUCCUUCUGGGGAGCCAAUGUGCUCUUAAUUGAGUGCGCAGGGGAUCCAGGACUUUUACUUUGAAAAAAUUAGAGUGUUCAAAGCAGGCCUACGCCCGAAUACAUUAGCAUGGAAUAAUAGAAUAGGAC
rnacentral:rRNA from 1 species